UACGAAGGGGGCUAGCGUUGUUCGGAAUUACUGGGCGUAAAGCGCGCGCAGGCGGUCUUCCAAGUCAGUGGUGAAAGCCCGGAGCUCAACUCCGGAACUGCCAUUGAAACUGUUAGACUUGAGGAUGAGAGAGGUGAGUGGAAUUCCCAGUGUAGAGGUGAAAUUCGUAGAUAUUCGCAAGAACACCAGUGGCGAAGGCGGCUCACUGGCCCGAUACUGACGCUGAGGUGCGAAAGCGUGGGGAGCAAACAGG
rnacentral:rRNA from 1 species